rnacentral:tRNA from 1 species
GGCCAGGUAGCUCAGUUGGUAGAGCAGGGGACUGAAAAUCCCCGUGUCGGUGGUUCGAUUCCGCCCCUGGCCA